rnacentral:rRNA from 1 species
GACGAACGCUGGCGGCGUGCUUAACACAUGCAAGUCGAACGGAAAGGCCCUGCUUUUGUGGGGUGCUCGAGUGGCGAACGGGUGAGUAACACGUGAGUAACCUGCCCUUGACUUUGGGAUAACUUCAGGAAACUGGGGCUAAUACCGGAUAGGAGCUCCUGCUGCAUGGUGGGGGUUGGAAAGUUUCGGCGGUUGGGGAUGGACUCGCGGGUUAUCAGCUUGUUGGUGGGGUAGUGGCUUACCAAGGCUUUGACGGGUAGCCGGCCUGAGAGGGUGACCGGCCACAGUGGGACUGAGAUACGGCCCAGACUCCUACGGGAGGCAGCAGUGGGGAAUAUUGCACAAUGGGCGGAAGUCUGAUGCAGCAACGCCGCGUGCGGGAUGACGGCCUUCGGGUUGUAAACCGCUUUCGCCUGUGACGAAGCGGGAGUGACGGUAAUGGGUAAAGAAGCACCGGCUAACUACGUG